rnacentral:rRNA from 1 species
UGGGGAAUAUUGGACAAUGGGCGCAAGCCUGAUCCAGCCAUGCCGCGUGAGUGAUGAAGGCCCUAGGGUUGUAAAGCUCUUUCAACGGUGAAGAUAAUGACGGUAACCGUAGAAGAAGCCCCGGCUAACUUCGUGCCAGCAGCCGCGGUAAUACGAAGGGGGCUAGCGUUGUUCGGAAUUACUGGGCGUAAAGCGCACGUAGGCGGAUACUUAAGUCAGGGGUGAAAUCCCGGGGCUCAACCCCGGAACUGCCUUUGAUACUGGGUAUCUGGAGUCCGGAAGAGGUGAGUGGAAUUCCGAGUGUAGAGGUGAAAUUCGUAGAUAUUCGGAGGAACACCAGUGGCGAAGGCGGCUCACUGGUCCGGUACUGACGCUGAGGUGCGAAAGCGUGGGGAGCAAACAGGAUUAGAUACCCCCGUAGUCCCUGAGCGGGCUGGCAAGGCGCAU